rnacentral:rRNA from 1 species
UACGUAGGGUGCGAGCGUUAAUCGGAAUUACUGGGCGUAAGCGUGCGCAGGCGGUUUUGUAAGCCAGAUGUGAAAUCCCCGGGCUUAACCUGGGAAUGGCAUUUGGGACUGCAAGGCUCGAGUGCGGCAGAGGAGACUGGAAUUCCUGGUGUAGCAGUGAAAUGCGUAGAUAUCAGGAGGAACACCGAUGGCGAAGGCAGGUCUCUGGGCUGACACUGACGCUCAUGCACGAAAGCGUGGGGAGCAAACAGG